rnacentral:rRNA from 1 species
CAGUAGCCGCGGUAAUACGGAGGGUGCAAGCGUUAUCCGGAUUUAUUGGGUUUAAAGGGUCCGUAGGCGGACUUAUAAGUCAGUGGUGAAAGCCUGUCGCUUAACGAUAGAACUGCCAUUGAUACUGUAAGUCUUGAGUAUAUUUGAGGUAGCUGGAAUAAGUAGUGUAGCGGUGAAAUGCAUAGAUAUUACUUAGAACACCAAUUGCGAAGGCAGGUUACCAAGAUAUAACUGACGCUGAGGGACGAAAGCGUGGGUAGCGAACAGGAUUAGAGACCCCUGUAGUCCCUGUCUCUUAUAA